rnacentral:rRNA from 1 species
CCUACGGGUGGCAGCAGUGGGGAAUAUUGCACAAUGGGGGAAACCCUGAUGCAGCGACGCCGCGUGAGUGAAGAAGUAUUUCGGUAUGUAAAGCUCUAUCAGCAGGGAAGAAAAUGACGGUACCUGAGGAAGAAGCCACGGCUAACUCCGUGCCAGCAGCCGCGGGAAUACGUAGGGGGCAAGCGGUAUCCGGAUUUACUGGGUGUACAGGGAGCGUAGACGGUGAUGCAAGUCAGAAGGGAACGCCCGUGGCUCAACUCCGGGACUGCUUUUGAAACUGUGUGACUGGAGUGCAGGAGAGGUAAGCUGAAUUCCUGGUGUAGCGGUGCAAUGCGUAGAUAUCAGGCGGAACCCCAGUGGCGAAGGCGGCUUACUGGACUGUAACUGACGUUGAGGCUCGAAAGCGUGGGGAGCAAACAGGAUUAGAUACCCGGGUAGUC